UACGAAGGGGGCUAGCGUUGUUCGGAAUUACUGGCGUAAAGCGCACGUAGGCGGAUACUUAAGUCAGGGGUGAAAUCCCGGGGCUCAACCCCGGAACUGCCUUUGAUACUGAGGAUCUUGAGUUCGGGAGAGGUGAGUGGAACUGCGAGUGUAGAGGUGAAAUUCGUAGAUAUUCGCAAGAACACCAGUGGCGAAGGCGGCUCACUGGCCCGAUACUGACGCUGAGGCACGAAAGCGUGGGGAGCAAACAGG
rnacentral:rRNA from 1 species